UGAGCCUAGGUCGGAUUAGCUAGUUGGUGAGGUAAUGGCUCACCAAGGCGACGAUCCGUAACUGGUCUGAGAGGAUGAUCAGUCACACUGGAACUGAGACACGGUCCAGACUCCUACGGGAGGCAGCAGUGGGGAAUAUUGGACAAUGGGCGAAAGCCUGAUCCAAAAGUGCCGCGUGUGUGAAGAAGGUCUUCGGAUUGUAAAUCAAUAGAAGUUGGAGGAAGGGCAGUUACCUAAUACGUGAUGUUUGACGUA
rnacentral:rRNA from 1 species